rnacentral:rRNA from 1 species
GACGAACGCUGGCGGCGUGCCUAACACAUGCAAGUCGAGCGGGGUUGAAGCGAGGGGUAACUCGAGUUUCUACCUAGCGGCGGACGGGUGAGUAACGCGUGGGCAACCUGCCUCAAGGACUGGGAUAACAGCUCGAAAGGGCUGCUAAUACCGGAUAAGCCUAUGGCCUCGCAUGGGGCCAUGAGCAAAGGGGAAACCUGCCUUGAGAUGGGCCCGCGUCCCAUCAGCUAGUUGGUGAGGUGAAGGCUCACCAAGGCGACGACGGGUAGCCGGCCUGAGAGGGUGACCGGCCACACUGGGACUGAGACACGGCCCAGACUCCUACGGGGGCAGCAGUGGGGAAUCUUGCACAAUGGGCGAAAGCCUGAUGCAGCGACGCCGCGUGAGCGAAGAAGGCCUUCGGGUUGUAAAGCUCUGUCUGGAGGGACGAAGGAGUGACGGUACCUCCGGAGGAAGCCACGGCUAACUACGUGCCAGCAGCCGCGGUAAUAUCACGUGUACCG